AAAAGUUAUUAGCAUUUAUGUGAUAUUUCAUUAUAACUAUUGGCCACAAGGUGGCGCUGCCACCAAACUUUUUGAGUACCUUCAGGGCAUGGAGCCGAAUAUUUUUGUAAUUAUUUGCGAAACGAUACGAUGCUGCGUUCAAAAAAUACAGCAUUUUAAAUCAUAAUUCAAAAUGGCCGACGCCUAAAAUGGCCGACACAGGAAAAUUGGAUAUCAUUUGACUCGACAUGACUCACUGAAUCUAAAGAGACCAGUUGUGUGAUUUUUGGCCAAACCAUUCAGUAGUUAUAAGCCAAAAUAUGCAUUUUUCAUAUCUCCUGACCACUAGGUGGCGCUGUGUCGAAACACUGCAGGUAGUCUCAGUUCAUGCUUGUUAUAACACACGCCAAGUUUGGUCUCAAUAUGACAAACCGUUGCCGGGAUAUAGCCUCACGUGCAUGUUUGCGUGCUUUUCGUCAAAUUUGUUUACAUGUCAUUCGACAACAGUUGGACGAAUCAACUUGAAUUCCAUAACUUUUUGCCAGCAUGGUCUGAAGAUGAUCUGAGCCAAUUUUCGUGGCAAUCGGACUAACCGUCUAGGACGAGUUCGAAAAAGUAGGUUUUUCGAAUAAUUGAAAAUAGCGAAAAAACUAAACCUUGCGAUUUUUGAAUUUUGGGGUUCAUUCGACUUGGCCUGAGCCAAGGAUUCAGAGGAAAAAAGAAUUUCCAUUUUCUGGCUUACGGUUCAAAAGUUAUUAGCAUACAAACAUUGAAAGUUUGGACAAGUGGUGGCGCUAGAGAGUAGGAGUUAGAGGCUUCAAAUUUGCUAUAGUUAAUGUUGGGACUGUCCUCUAUCAGUGUGCCAAAUUAUACAACUUUCCCGCAAUCGGUUCUAUGGGCUGCCAUAGACUUGCGGCGGAAGAAGAAGAAGAAGAAGAAGAAGAAUAAAUAUAGCUGCAAGCAGCAAUUACGGGGCCAAGCACUCCAACGGCAAAUGUAGGAGCUAAGCAUGGCAUGGAGCAUCACACCAAAUGCAUUAAUGAGCAAUAACAGCAAUUUUAGGAUUAUUGUAAUUGAAAUGGCUAAAAAAAUCAUAAAUACAACCUCUAGUAGCAUGAUUUACUGGCUUAUCAAAAUUGACCAAUAGGUGGUGCUGUUAUCAAGUCAAUUUGGUGUACUCUGUGUGACUUUUCAAUGACACAAACAAAGUUUGGUGUCAAUAUGCCAAAGCAUUGCAGAGAUACAGCCUCAAGUGUCAUUUUGUCAUUGUGCCUCAAGUUCGUCGCUGUGGUAUGCAAAAAUGGUUUUGUCUAUCGACACAAAAUUCAUAACUUUUUGUCAGCACAGUCUGAAGAUCAUCUGAUUAAAUUUUGGUGAAAAUUGGACUAACGGAUGAUGAGGAGUUCGAAAAAGUAUGUUUUCAACAUAAAUCAAAAUGGCGGACCGGAAGUUCAGCUUACCGUGGUAUAUUUGGUAUCUAUGUUAUCGGCAUAAGCCAGGGAAUAUUUUGAGCCCAGUUUCCUUCAAAUAGGCUAAUGCAUUAAAAAGUUAUUAGCAUUUUAAAAAGUGUAAUUACUCAUGGUUAAUGAAUGGUUUAUUACUCUUGACCAAUAGGUGGCGCUGUUACCAAAUUUAUGUUGCAUGGUCAGUGUGAGGUGGCGAUGACACAUACAAAGUUUGGUGCAAAUAUGUCAAAGUGUUGCAGAGAUACAGCCUCAAAUGCAUUUUGGCACCCUUCCAGCAAAUUCGUUGAUGCGCUAAAUGAGAACCGUUACGUAUAUCGACACAAAAUCCAUAACUUUUUUCCAGCAUGGUCUGAAGAUGAUUCACGUCAAAUUUGGUGAAAAUUGGGCUAACGGUCUAGGAGGAGUUCGAAAAAGUAGGUUUUCAACAUUAAGCAAAAUGGCGGACAGGAAGUAAGGCCAAUUUUCACAUUAUUGGUAUCAAUACUCUCGGCAUGACCCACAGAAUAUAGCGAGACCAUUUUAAUUUUAAUAGACUAAUUUAUUCAAAAGUUAUUAGCGUUUAUGUGAUAUUUCAUUAUAACUAUUGGCCACAAGGUGGCGCUGCCACCAAACUUUUUGAGUACCUUCAGGGCAUGGAGCCGAAUAUUUUUGUAAUUAUUUGCGAAACGAUACGAUGCUGCGUUCAAAAAAUACAGCAUUUUGAAACAUAAUUCAAAAUGGCCGACGCCUAAAAUGGCCGACACAGGAAAAUUGGAUAUCAUUCGACUCGACAUGACUCACUGAAUCUAAAGAGACCAGUUGUGUGAUUUUUGGCCAAACCAUUCAGUAGUUAUAAGCCAAAAUAUGCAUUUUUCAUAUCUCCUGACCACUAGGUGGCGCUGUGUCGAAACACAGCAGGUAGUCUCAGUUCAUGCUUGUUAUAACACACGCCAAGUUUGGUCUCAAUAUGACAAACCGUUGCCGGGAUAUAGCCUCACGUGCAUGUUUGCGUGCUUUUCGUCAAAUUUGUUUACAUGUCAUUCGACAACAGUUGGACGAAUCAACUUGAAUUCCAUAACUUUUUGCCAGCAUGGUCUGAAGAUGAUCUGAGCCAAUUUUCGUGGCAAUCGGACUAACCGUCUAGGACGAGUUCGAAAAAGUAGGUUUUUCGAAUAAUUGAAAAUAGCGAAAAAACUAAACCUUGCGAUUUUUGAAUUUUGGGGUUCAUUCGACUUGGCAUGAGCCAAGGAUUCAGAG